UUUGUAUUACGUGCGGAAAUUGUUACCAUUUUUCAGCCAAAAUGGUAACAAUUUCCGCACGUAAUACAAA